rnacentral:rRNA from 1 species
GAUGAACGCUAGCGGGAGGCCUAACACAUGCAAGCCGAGCGGUAGAGAUCUUUCGGGAUCUUGAGAGCGGCGUACGGGUGCGGAACACGUGUGCAACCUGCCUUUAUCAGGGGGAUAGCCUUUCGAAAGGAAGAUUAAUACCCCAUAAUAUAUUGAAUGGCAUCAUUUGAUAUUGAAAACUCCGGUGGAUAGAGAUGGGCACGCGCAAGAUUAGAUAGUUGGUAGGGUAACGGCCUACCAAGUCAGUGAUCUUUAGGGGGCCUGAGAGGGUGAUCCCCCACACUGGUACUGAGACACGGACCAGACUCCUACGGGAGGCAGCAGUGAGGAAUAUUGGACAAUGGGUGAGAGCCUGAUCCAGCCAUCCCGCGUGAAGGACGACGGCCCUAUGGGUUGUAAACUUCUUUUGUAUAGGGAUAAACCUUUCCACGUGUGGAAAGCUGAAGGUACUAUACGAAUAAGCACCGGCUAACUCCGUGCCAGCAGCCGCGGUAAUACGGAGGGUGCAAGCGUUAUCCGGAUUUAUUGGGUCUAAAGGGUCCGUAGGCGGAUCUGUAAGUCAGUGGUGAAAUCUCAUAGCUUAACUAUGAAACUGCCAUUGAUACUGCAGGUCUUGAGUAAAGUAGAAGUGGCUGGAAUAAGUAGUGUAGCGGUGAAAUGCAUAGAUAUUACUUAGAACACCAAUUGCGAAGGCAGGUCACUAUGUUUUAACUGACGCUGAUGGACGAAAGCGUGGGGAGCGAACAGGAUUAGAUACCCUGGUAGUCCACGCCGUAAACGAUGCUAACUCGUUUUUGGGUUUUCGGAUUCAGAGACUAAGCGAAAGUGAUAAGUUAGCCACCUGGGGAGUACGUUCGCAAGAAUGAAACUCAAAGGAAUUGACGGGGGCCCGCACAAGCGGUGGAUUAUGUGGUUUAAUUCGAUGAUACGCGAGGAACCUUACCAAGGCUUAAAUGGGAAUUGACAGGUUUAGAAAUAGACUUUUCUUCGGACAAUUUUCAAGGUGCUGCAUGGUUGUCGUCAGCUCGUGCCGUGAGGUGUUAGGUUAAGUCCUGCAACGAGCGCAACCCCUGUCACUAGUUGCCAUCAUUCAGUUGGGGACUCUAGUGAGACUGCCUACGCAAGUAGAGAGGAAGGUGGGGAUGACGUCAAAUCAUCACGGCCCUUACGCCUUGGGCCACACACGUAAUACAAUGGCCGGUACAGAGGGCAGCUACCUAGCGAUAGGAUGCGAAUCUCGAAAGCCGGUCUCAGUUCGGAUUGGAGUCUGCAACUCGACUCUAUGAAGCUGGAAUCGCUAGUAAUCGCAUAUCAGCCAUGAUGCGGUGAAUACGUUCCCGGGCCU